UACAGAGGGGGCAAGCGUUGUUCGGAAUUACUGGGCGUAAAGGGCGCGUAGGCGGCCUGUUAAGUCGAACGUGAAAUCCCCCGGGCUCAACCCGGGAACUGCGUCCGAUACUGGCAGGCUUGAAUCCGGGAGAGGGAUGUGGAAUUCCAGGUGUAGCGGUGAAAUGCGUAGAUAUCUGGAGGAACACCGGUGGCGAAGGCGGCAUCCUGGACCGGUAUUGACGCUGAGGCGCGAAAGCCAGGGGAGCAAAACGGGG
rnacentral:rRNA from 1 species